AUGAACGCUGGCGGCGUGCCUAAUACCUGCAAGUCGCGCGCACAGACGAGGAGCUUGCUCCUCUGACGUUAGCGGCGGACGGGUGAGUAACACGUGGAUAACCUACCUAUAAGACUGGGAUAACUUCGGGAAACCGGAGCUAAUACCGGAUAAUAUAUUGAACCGCAUGGUUCAAUAGUGAAAGACGGUUUUGCUGUCACUUAUAGAUGGAUCCGCGCCGCAUUAGCUAGUUGGUAAGGUAACGGCUUACCAAGGCGACGAUGCGUAGCCGACCUGAGAGGGUGAUCGGCCACACUGGAGCUGAGACACGGUCCAGACUCCUACGGGAGGCAGCAGUAGGGAAUCUUCCGCAAUGGGCGAAAGCCUGACGGAGCAACGCCGCGUGAGUGAUGAAGGUCUUCGGAUCGUAAAACUCUGUUAUUAGGGAAGAACAAAUGUGUAAGUAACUAUGCACGUCUUGACGGUACCUAAUCAGAAAGCCACGGCUAACUACGUG
rnacentral:rRNA from 1 species